rnacentral:tRNA from 1 species
CAAUUAAAGAAAUAUAAUUAAAAGCUGCUAACUUUUUCCAUAGUGGAUACCCAUUAAUAUUUCAAAAUUUA